rfam:Triticum urartu cultivar G1812 contig189240, whole genome shotgun sequence.
CUACUACUCCCUCCGUUCCGAAUUACUUGUCGUAGGUAUGGAUGUAUCUAGAUGUAUUUUAAUUCUAGAUACAUCCAUUUCUGCGAUGAGUAAUUUGUAACGGAGGGAGUAGCUU